rnacentral:rRNA from 1 species
GUCGAACGAUGAUGCCCAGCUUGCUGGGUGGAUUAGUGGCGAACGGGUGAGUAACACGUGAGUAACCUGCCCCUGACUCUGGGAUAAGCGUUGGAAACGACGUCUAAUACUGGAUAUGACUGCCGGCCGCAUGGUCUGGUGGUGGAAAGAUUUUUUGGUUGGGGAUGGACUCGCGGCCUAUCAGCUUGUUGGUGAGGUAAUGGCUCACCAAGGCGACGACGGGUAGCCGGCCUGAGAGGGUGACCGGCCACACUGGGACUGAGACACGGCCCAGACUCCUACGGGAGGCAGCAGUGGGGAAUAUUGCACAAUGGGCGAAAGCCUGAUGCAGCAACGCCGCGUGAGGGAUGACGGCCUUCGGGUUGUAAACCUCUUUUAGUAGGGAAGAAGCGUAAGUGACGGUACCUGCAGAAAAAGCACCGGCUAACUACGUGCCAGCAGCCGCGGUAAUACGUAGGGUGCAAGCGUUGUCCGGAAUUAUUGGGCGUAAAGAGCUCGUAGGCGGUUUGUCGCGUCUGCUGUGAAAUCCCGAGGCUCAACCUCGGGCUUGCAGUGGGUACGGGCAGACUAGAGUGCGGUAGGGGAGAUUGGAAUUCCUGGUGUAGCGGUGGAAUGCGCAGAUAUCAGGAGGAACACCGAUGGCGAAGGCAGAUCUCUGGGCCGUAACUGACGCUGAGGAGCGAAAGCGUGGGGAGCGAACAGGAUUAGAUACCCUGGUAGUCCACGCCGUAAACGUUGGGCGCUAGAUGUAGGGACCUUUCCACGGUUUCUGUGUCGUAGCUAACGCAUUAAGCGCCCCGCCUGGGGAGUACGGCCGCAAGGCUAAAACUCAAAGGAAUUGACGGGGGCCCGCACAAGCGGCGGAGCAUGCGGAUUAAUUCGAUGCAACGCGAAGAACCUUACCAAGGCUUGACAUACACCGGAAACGGCCAGAGAUGGUUGCCCCCUUGUGGUCGGUGUACAGGUGGUGCAUGGUUGUCGUCAGCUCGUGUCGUGAGAUGUUGGGUUAAGUCCCGCAACGAGCGCAACCCUCGUUCUAUGUUGCCAGCGCGUUAUGGCGGGGACUCAUAGGAGACUGCCGGGGUCAACUCGGAGGAAGGUGGGGAUGACGUCAAAUCAUCAUGCCCCUUAUGUCUUGGGCUUCACGCAUGCUACAAUGGCCGGUACAAAGGGCUGCGAUACCGUAAGGUGGAGCGAAUCCCAAAAAGCCGGUCUCAGUUCGGAUUGAGGUCUGCAACUCGACCUCAUGAAGUCGGAGUCGCUAGUAAUCGCAGAUCAGCAACGCUGCGGUGAAUACGUUCCCGGGCCUUGUACACACCGCCCGUCAAGUCAUGAAAGUCGGUAACACCCGAAGCCGGUGGCCUAACCCUU